GCACGGCUGAGGAGUCCCAUAAUAGGACGAAACGGUCGUCCAGCGC
rnacentral:hammerhead_ribozyme from 1 species